rnacentral:sRNA from 1 species
CUGAAAUCCGAUAUAUGUAGGCCGAAGCUCCCCA